rnacentral:rRNA from 1 species
AGUCGAGGGGCAGCAUGAACUUAGCUUGCUAAGUUUGAUGGCGACCGGCGCACGGGUGAGUAACACGUAUCCAACCUGCCGAUGACUCGGGGAUAGCCUUUCGAAAGAAAGAUUAAUACCCGAUGGCAUAGUUCUUCCGCAUGGUGGAACUAUUAAAGAAUUUCGGUCAUCGAUGGGGAUGCGUUCCAUUAGGUUGUUGGCGGGGUAACGGCCCACCAAGCCUUCGAUGGAUAGGGGUUCUGAGAGGAAGGUCCCCCACAUUGGAACUGAGACACGGUCCAAACUCCUACGGGAGGCAGCAGUGAGGAAUAUUGGUCAAUGGACGAGAGUCUGAACCAGCCAAGUAGCGUGAAGGAUGACUGCCCUAUGGGUUGUAAACUUCUUUUAUACGGGAAUAAAGUGAGGCACGUGUGCCUUUUUGUAUGUACCGUAUGAAUAAGGAUCGGCUAACUCCGUGCCAGCAGCCGCGGUAAUACGGAGGAUCCGAGCGUUAUCCGGAUUUAUUGGGUUUAAAGGGAGCGUACGCGGACGCUUAAGUCAGUUGUGAAAGUUUGCGGCUCAACCGUAAAAUUGCAGUUGAUACUGGGUGUCUUGAGUACAGUAGAGGCAGGCGGAAUUCGUGGUGUAGCGGUGAAAUGCUUAGAUAUCACGAAGAACUCCGAUUGCGAAGGCAGCUUGCUGGACUG